rnacentral:rRNA from 1 species
AGCGUACACGGUGGAUGCCCUGGCAGUCAGAGGCGAUGAAGGACGUGCUAAUCUGCGAUAAGCGUCGGUAAGGUGAUAUGAACCGUUAUAACCGGCGAUUUCCGAAUGGGGAAACCCAGUGUGUUUCGACACACUAUCAUUAACUGAAUCCAUAGGUUAAUGAGGCGAACCGGGGGAACUGAAACAUCUAAGUACCCCGAGGAAAAGAAAUCAACCGAGAUUCCCCCAGUAGCGGCGAGCGAACGGGGAGCAGCCCAGAGCCUGAAUCAGUGUGUGUGUUAGUGGAAGCGUCUGGAAAGGCGCGCGAUACAGGGUGACAGCCCCGUACACAAAAAUGCACAUGCUGUGAGCUCGAUGAGUAGGGCGGGACACGUGGUAUCCUGUCUGAAUAUGGGGGGACCAUCCUCCAAGGCUAAAUACUCCUGACUGACCGAUAGUGAACCAGUACCGUGAGGGAAAGGCGAAAAGAACCCCGGCGAGGGGAGUGAAAAAGAACCUGAAACCGUGUACGUACAAGCAGUGGGAGCACGCUUAGGCGUGUGACUGCGUACCUUUUGUAUAAUGGGUCAGCGACUUAUAUUCUGUAGCAAGGUUAACCGAAUAGGGGAGCCGAAGGGAAACCGAGUCUUAACUGGGCGUUAAGUUGCAGGGUAUAGACCCGAAACCCGGUGAUCUAGCCAUGGGCAGGUUGAAGGUUGGGUAACACUAACUGGAGGACCGAACCGACUAAUGUUGAAAAAUUAGCGGAUGACUUGUGGCUGGGGGUGAAAGGCCAAUCAAACCGGGAGAUAGCUGGUUCUCCCCGAAAGCUAUUUAGGUAGCGCCUCGUGAAUUCAUCUCCGGGGGUAGAGCACUGUUUCGGCAAGGGGGUCAUCCCGACUUACCAACCCGAUGCAAACUGCGAAUACCGGAGAAUGUUAUCACGGGAGACACACGGCGGGUGCUAACGUCCGUCGUGAAGAGGGAAACAACCCAGACCGCCAGCUAAGGUCCCAAAGUCAUGGUUAAGUGGGAAACGAUGUGGGAAGGCCCAGACAGCCAGGAUGUUGGCUUAGAAGCAGCCAUCAUUUAAAGAAAGCGUAAUAGCUCACUGGUCGAGUCGGCCUGCGCGGAAGAUGUAACGGGGCUAAACCAUGCACCGAAGCUGCGGCAGCGACGCUUAUGCGUUGUUGGGUAGGGGAGCGUUCUGUAAGCCUGCGAAGGUGUGCUGUGAGGCAUGCUGGAGGUAUCAGAAGUGCGAAUGCUGACAUAAGUAACGAUAAAGCGGGUGAAAAGCCCGCUCGCCGGAAGACCAAGGGUUCCUGUCCAACGUUAAUCGGGGCAGGGUGAGUCGACCCCUAAGGCGAGGCCGAAAGGCGUAGUCGAUGGGAAACAGGUUAAUAUUCCUGUACUUGGUGUUACUGCGAAGGGGGGACGGAGAAGGCUAUGUUGGCCGGGCGACGGUUGUCCCGGUUUAAGCGUGUAGGCUGGUUUUCCAGGCAAAUCCGGAAAAUCAAGGCUGAGGCGUGAUGACGAGGCACUACGGUGCUGAAGCAACAAAUGCCCUGCUUCCAGGAAAAGCCUCUAAGCAUCAGGUAACAUCAAAUCGUACCCCAAACCGACACAGGUGGUCAGGUAGAGAAUACCAAGGCGCUUGAGAGAACUCGGGUGAAGGAACUAGGCAAAAUGGUGCCGUAACUUCGGGAGAAGGCACGCUGAUAUGUAGGUGAAGUCCCUCGCGGAUGGAGCUGAAAUCAGUCGAAGAUACCAGCUGGCUGCAACUGUUUAUUAAAAACACAGCACUGUGCAAACACGAAAGUGGACGUAUACGGUGUGACGCCUGCCCGGUGCCGGAAGGUUAAUUGAUGGGGUUAGCGCAAGCGAAGCUCUUGAUCGAAGCCCCGGUAAACGGCGGCCGUAACUAUAACGGUCCUAAGGUAGCGAAAUUCCUUGUCGGGUAAGUUCCGACCUGCACGAAUGGCGUAAUGAUGGCCAGGCUGUCUCCACCCGAGACUCAGUGAAAUUGAACUCGCUGUGAAGAUGCAGUGUACCCGCGGCAAGACGGAAAGACCCCGUGAACCUUUACUAUAGCUUGACACUGAACAUUGAGCCUUGAUGUGUAGGAUAGGUGGGAGGCUUUGAAGUGUGGACGCCAGUCUGCAUGGAGCCGACCUUGAAAUACCACCCUUUAAUGUUUGAUGUUCUAACGUUGACCCGUAAUCCGGGUUGCGGACAGUGUCUGGUGGGUAGUUUGACUGGGGCGGUCUCCUCCUAAAGAGUAACGGAGGAGCACGAAGGUUGGCUAAUCCUGGUCGGACAUCAGGAGGUUAGUGCAAUGGCAUAAGCCAGCUUGACUGCGAGCGUGACGGCGCGAGCAGGUGCGAAAGCAGGUCAUAGUGAUCCGGUGGUUCUGAAUGGAAGGGCCAUCGCUCAACGGAUAAAAGGUACUCCGGGGAUAACAGGCUGAUACCGCCCAAGAGUUCAUAUCGACGGCGGUGUUUGGCACCUCGAUGUCGGCUCAUCACAUCCUGGGGCUGAAGUAGGUCCCAAGGGUAUGGCUGUUCGCCAUUUAAAGUGGUACGCGAGCUGGGUUUAGAACGUCGUGAGACAGUUCGGUCCCUAUCUGCCGUGGGCGCUGGAGAACUGAGGGGGGCUGCUCCUAGUACGAGAGGACCGGAGUGGACGCAUCACUGGUGUUCGGGUUGUCAUGCCAAUGGCACUGCCCGGUAGCUAAAUGCGGAAGAGAUAAGUGCUGAAAGCAUCUAAGCACGAAACUUGCCCCGAGAUGAGUUCU